CAAAGGAAAGCACGCGCACACGCUCCUGAGAAAGCAGCCUGCACGGAGGAAUUACUGAUUGCAACAGGAAUGGAAUUUCUCCCUUGCUGCCUUGUUCGGAUCGUCAGACCUCCCACUCUCUGGAUGUCAGAAACUGCAAGUUAAGUUCAUUCUGGACCUCUCAGCCUUCUAGACCCAUGCCAUUGUAGUGAGGUAACAACAGCUUGACAUGAGCCUUCUGAAAAUCAUGCUGGAACAACAUCCCUCAUCUCAGCCUUGCUGUUCACAGGUGAUGGUCCUGAGCAAGCUGGGUGUUGCAGCACCAGAACACUGUGUCCUGGUGACUGUAAACCUGAGAGGCUCAUGGGCUCACCAGUGUAUGACAGACAGAACCACAGAGCUGUGAAAUAGAUACAGCAAGUGAACAGGUACUCUCUUCAGAGCCUGCAGAAUUCUGCUGUGAUGGUCCUAGAGAGAGCACAAAGCCCAACAGCUUGAUUUGCAAAAGGAGCUGUAAUUAUUUUUCUAGUUUAAUAGACACUGCUUUAUCUGUGUUCUAGUUCCUAAAUAUCGCUGGAAUCCAAAUGUUUUUCUUUAGCACAAUUAAGGCAAUCAAAAGUAUUUAUUUAAAGCACUUAAUCACUUAAAGAAACAAGUGGAAUACUACUAAAAUAGAGAAUAAUUUUACAGUGAAGUUUGAUAUCUCUGUAAACAUUUUAGAUGUAAUUUUCUUCUGACUCAUUUUUGAGUCCACUGAGGAUCCAAAUAUCAAGUUUACUCUCAAUUUCCACCUGGGAAGCAAGUACUGUGAAUUGGGCUACAAGUGAAGAACUGAUUGCUUUAUGUAAUUUAAUUUAUACCAUUCUAACAUAUGUCAGAACACCACUGUAUUGUGGAGUGCAAUAAAAGGCUGACAUGUUAAGAGUCUUUUUAAAAAAUCCACACUCACUGGGCUUCUCCAGAUUUUACACAUCCAUAUUGUGCAAACAUGAGCUACAGCUGAGUAUUACAGACAUGCAGGGCAGGCACAAGAAUCCCUGAGGGCACCUCUGAUCUGAAUGUUAAAUUAGCUUUAUUGAAGUAUGUCUUUUAAAUGAACUGAGCCUGAUGUCUUUCUUGUACUGGAAUAUGCCAUCUUAAUGAUGCUUCCUUGAGAGCUGCUGAUGAGAGAAAGGAAUGAGGGAACAGUCAUUACCAUUAGGAGCAAGAAAGUGCUGAAUGGUGACUUACCCCCUCUCUUCCAGCCACAAGUUUUUAUAGAGUCUAUUAAUACCUUGCAGGGCACUGCAGCUUUCUGUGGUACAUGCAAGGUCGCUGAGCUAAUGCACACCCAUAAAUCCCAAAUAGCUGCUGCUCUGCCCUGGUCAUCUGUGAGAAAGUCCUAAGAGAUGUGCUGGCACAACCCAGAGCAAGGAAGAUAUGUGUGUCUGGGCACAGACUAGAACUAAUGUGGAUCAGAAUACUUUUACUUCCCAAAACAUGCAUAUUCCUCAUAAGGAUGGCUGCUAGAACGUUGUGUAGCCCUGGCAGCUACCCCUUGUGAGAUACCACCAAGGAAAGACUUCAUCAAGGUUGCCAGUUCCAUGGGUGCAAGGGCAGGGAGGAUGCAGGAGCGCCCUUGGGCUGGCCACAGGAAGGGUGGGAAGCAGCUUGGAAAGCCCAGACAGCAAUUCCUGGGACAUGUGGGCAGUGACUAACUGUGACAGAGCUCUCACAUGGUGAGAGAGCCAUGGGCAUUUCAAAAAAGGGAGGCAUUUCAAAGAGCAUUACAUAUUCUCAUGUAUGAAAG